rnacentral:sRNA from 1 species
CUCCAGUCAACCCCUCCCCAGCCGACUCCUCCACCACAGAGCCCUCAGAGCUCAUCACUCUCAAAACCUCCUUCUUCACACCCUUCUCUUUCUCUAACACCUCUGCUCUGAAAGGAUCAGAUACAACCAUGGCCUCCAAAAUCUGCACCUCUGCAGGCUCAGCUGCCACUCAGCACUGAAACCACAGAGCAUUCAUUCCUGCUCUGUCUCAAAUAGACAGCAUUACCAGAUGAGGUGCAUCCAAUUGUUUUAUCAAAUGAUGAAGAUGACUUUUGUGAAGAGGCAUAUCACAUAUCUAGCAUCAUUAUCAGUAUAUCAACAUUGCUAAGAGCACUACUAUCUAUCCAAAAGCAAAUUUGAAGAAAAAGAAAAAGAAAAUAAGAAUUAAAGAGGAUUACUCACAGAUUUGCAGAAUUUUUCUGCAGAGACACAAGCCUCACAAUGCUUCUGAGCAUUUGAUCUCAACACACAUCAAAAAUCGACAUUCUCAAGUCUAGAAACACAACAUUCACACAGAAUUCAACUGUUGUGCAUCAUAUGAUUAGGGCUAAACCUAGGACAAUAUAACAAGUGAACAGUGAAUGGUGCUAUAUGGAAAUGAGCUAGUGGUGCACAUGACCACACUAAUAACACCACUGACAAGGAACACCAACAAUAAUACACAAUAAGUGCCCAAGAAACAACUUACUUAAAAUUGAAAUAAUUGAGAGAGCUCAUUUCAAUAAAAAAAGAGGGGGGGGAGGGAGAAUGAUGAUAUAAAAAAAUUUAAAAAUUUUUUUGAGAACAAGAAAUUGCAGCAGAAGAGACAAGGAGCUUUGAUGAUGAUCAAGUUAAAAAAGAAGAGAAAUCUUCAAGAGG